UCCCUGGUGGUCCAGUGGUUGAGAUCUGUGCUCCCAAUGCAGGGGGCCCAGGUUCAAUGCCUGGUCAGGGAA
rnacentral:tRNA from 1 species